rnacentral:rRNA from 1 species
UGGUCAUUUAGAGGAAGUAAAAGUCGUAACAAGGUUUCCGUAGGUGAACCUGCGGAAGGAUCAUUACAAAUCUUUGGAGGCUGGCUGCUGUGCAAACAGUGUGCUGGUUUCACAUUAGCACAAGGUCGCAAGGCCUUGAUGUUUACGCUUGUUUGUUUGACAAAUUUAGAUGUGAAUAUAAAUAAAGACAACUUUUAACAAUGGAUCUCUUGGCUCUUGCAACGAUGAAGAACGCAGUAAAGUGCGAUAUGUAGUGCGAUUUGCAUGAAUCUGUGAGUCAUCUAAUCUUUGAACGCAACUUGCGCCUUUUACGAGGCAUGUUUGUUUGAGUGCCGCAAUCUUCUGCAGCAAUGCGAUUUGACUCUUGUCUUUGUUGACCGAGUUUAAAGGGAGCUAGAGGAUGGUCAGUUUAGACUAGCCCGAGUGCUAAGCAUUCUUGGGUCUAGCGCUGGAUUGCUCAUUACAUCUAUUUUUCUAUUUGGCCUCAAAUCAAGCAAGACUACCCGCUGAACUUAAGCAUAUCAGUAAGCGGAGGAAAAGAAACUAACAAGGAUUCCCCUAGUAACGGCGAGUGAAGCGGGAAUAGCUCAAAUUUAAAAUCUCGGCGCUAUGCGCUGCGAAUUGUAGUCUAAAGAGGGUGAUCUAGGGUUGGCAAUGUGCUCAAGUCCCUUGGAAUAGGGCGCCAGAGAGGGUGAGAGCCCCGUAAAAGCAUGUUGCUGGCCUCAAGUGAGAGCCUCUCAACGAGUCGAGUUGUUUGGGAAUGCAGCUCAAAGUGGGUGGUAAAUCUCAUCUAAGGCUAAAUACUGGCAAGAGACCGAUAGCGAACAAGUACCGUGAGGGAAAGAUGAAAAGCACCUUGAAAAGGGAGUUAAAUAGUGCGUGAAAUUGUUAAAAGGGAAACGAUAGAGACUAGUAUUGGGCGUAGGCUAAGCUGGUGUUUCGGCAUUGGUGGUGCUUGCGCUUCGAGUCAAUGUCAGUUGUUUCUGCCGGAUACGGCUUGGAGAAAGAUGGGGUCGACUUCGGUCUUCCUUUUAUAGUCUCUGAUGCCUGCGGCCGAGGCGACUGAAAGUCUUGGAACGCUAGGCUACUCGGGAGUAGUAAGUGGCAGACAGCAUGCUGACUGUUGCUCUACUUUCUCUCUACUAACCGACGCCUACCUGGACGUCUUUGACGAGAUGGUCUUUAACGACCCGUCUUGAAACACGGACC